CGCGUAGCUCAGUUGGUAGAGCAGCGGACUCUUAAUCCGUCGGUCCAGGGUUCGAGCCCCUGCGC
rnacentral:tRNA from 1 species